rnacentral:rRNA from 1 species
GCCUAUGGCCCUGCCAUGGAGCAGGGCCUGGUCAGCCCUUGGAUGGGAAACCACUGGGAAUUCUGGAUGCUGAAGGCU